AUCGCUUCUCGGCCUUUUGGCUAAGAUCAAGUGUUAAAAAUAGGCAGUAACUUUCUUCAAUUAAUAAUUUAUAUUUUCUGUCACAUAAGUGUCCAUUAGCUCGCCAUUUUUGAAUGUUUGAGAGCGUUUUUUCUUUGCAACUUUCAAACGUUCUUGU
rnacentral:snRNA from 1 species